rnacentral:lncRNA from 1 species
UGUUUCUCCCGUUCUAUCUCAUUCGCAAUUCCGGAGGCGCUUUGCGAAGCCCUGCUGGGAUUGCUCCACCACCAUCUCCACCAUGCCGUCAGGCUGGUUGAGAUCCCACCUACUUCUCCUUCCUCUCUUGAUGGAUCAAUAAGGAGGAGACAUCAUCGAGCCACACGUGCGCUACCGAAGGUGUCGUCCGUUUGGUGCUAGACUGGGAUGGAUCGCGAUUGGAUCGUGAAGACGUACGACUACAUCAACCGUGUUAUAUACGCUUACGCUUAGCGAUCUACGAGGGUAUGUAGAUGCACUCCCCCUUUCAUAGAUGUUGAUCUCCAUAGAUUGAUCUUGGUAAGCGUAGGAAUUUUUUUGUUUCCCAUUCUACGUUCCCCAACAGUGGCAUCAUGAGCAAGGUCCAU